CUUCCAUGUGACCUAAGGUCACCACUCCAAUUGAAGCUCUUUCCACAAUCCAUGCAUUUAUGUGGUUUCUCCCCAGUGUGAGUCCUUUGAUGUGACCUAAGGAUACCACUGUGACUAAACGUCUUUCCACAUUCUAUGCAUUUAUGCGGUUUUUCCCCAGUGUGAGUUCUUUGAUGUAUCCUAAGAUUAACACUCUGACUAAAGCUCUUUCCACAUUCCAUGCAUUUAUGUGGUUUCUCCCCAGUGUGAAUCCUUUGAUGCAGCCUAAGUUUACCAUUUACAGUGAAGCUCUUACCACAUUCCAUGCAUUUAUGUGGUUUCUCCCCAGUGUGAGUCCUUUGAUGUAACCUAAGGGUAGCACUCCGAUUGAAGCUCUUUCCGCAUUUCAUACAUGGAUACUGUUUCUUCCCUUUGUGAGUUAUAUGAUGUCUACUGAGAUUACAUGCGUUUAUGUGGUUUCUCUGCUGCGUAAGUUCUUUCACGUGAUGUCCACUCUUGCUUACUUGGAUUUUCAAUUCUCUGUUUUCUUGUUUGAUUAUGAGUUCCUGCCCAGGUUGCCUCAGAUGUUGCUGGGCAAUUCCUCUCUUCAUCAUCUGGUAUAUUAGAAAAAGAAGAGAAACAACCACUUACAAAAGCUGCAGAAAUAAGGAAUGGUGUGUUCGGUCUGAGUCACGGAGGAGGAAGGAAAGACAGGCAAGAAGGUGAGAGAAGAGAACCACGGAGGAGAUGAGGUGGGACCAGAGAGUUUUACUUUGGGCUUUAGGCUGGAAGGGCUCUCCACUGAGGAACCUUAUGGAGGGAGGUGUAAUGAAGGGAUGGUCAUUUUCAGAACCAAAAAAGUAUUUGAAAUUCAAAGUAUAUUGAUUUCUUUCCCUUCUCAAAUUCUCCCCAAUGAUUGUAACUUUAGUUUCCAGAAAAAUAGAAGUUGAUUUAAGAGGAAAGUUGAUUAAAGAGGAAUCACACUUGAUUAAAGAGGAAACAAAUAUUUGAAUUAAAGGAGUGUUUUGCAAAACUGAAUAAUAAAAGGGAAAACAGGUCAGUGUUAGAAAGAGUA
rnacentral:lncRNA from 1 species